CGGCCGGAGGGGGUAUAUGCAAAAGUGUGCUGGGUUGGUACACAGACAGGUCGAGCAGGGGUGAGAUGCUGAUGUAUUGAGCCGUGAGAGCUAUGAGGAAGAGCCAGGGCUCAACGGAUAAAAGCUACCCUGGGGAUAACAGGCUUAUCUCCCCCAAGAGUCCACAGCGACGGGGAGGUUUGGCACCGCGAUGUCGGCUCAUCACAUCCUGGGGCUGUAGUAGGUCCCAAGGGUUGGGCUGUUCGCCCAUUAAAGUGGUACGCGAGCUGGGUUCAGAACGUCG
rnacentral:rRNA from 1 species